rnacentral:rRNA from 1 species
CAGAGGGGGCGAGCGUUGUUCGGAAUUACUGGGCGUAAGGGCGCGUAGGCGGCCCGCUAAGUCGAACGUGAAAUCCCCAGGCUCAACCUGGGAACUGCGUCCGAUACUGGCAGGCUUGAAUCCGGGAGAGGGAUGUGGAAUUCCAGGUGUAGCGGUGAAAUGCGUAGAUAUCUGGAGGAACACCGGUGGCGAAGGCGGCAUCCUGGACCGGUAUUGACGCUGAGGCGCGAAAGCUAGGGGAGCAAACGGGAUUAGAUACCCCGGUAGUCCUAGCCCUAAACGAUGAAUGCUUGGUGUGGCGGGUAUCGAUCCCUGCCGUGCCGAAGCUAACGCAUUAAGCAUUCCACCUGGGGAGUACGGUCGCAAGGCUG